UUUUCAGGGAGACCAGGUGAAACAAUCAGACCCAAAUAGAUAACUGAUUGAUAUAACCAAUCCCAGGUCGUGCAAGGAAGAAGUAGAUUGGCUUUCAAACUGAUUUCGGUUCGGGAAAUGGGCUAUUAGCUCAGGUGGUUAGAGCGCACCCCUGAUAAGGGUGAGGUCCCUGGUUCGAGUCCAGGAUGGCCCACCUGUUUCCGUCAGGAAGAGGGGGUAUAGCUCAGCUGGUAGAGCGCUGCCUUUGCAAGGCAGAUGUCAGCGGUUCGAGUCCGCUUACCUCCAUACUUCCCAGUUAAGGAGUAUAGGAGCGGAGAAAAAAGCCAGUAGCCACAAGCCAACGGAAAAAAAGCAUUCAGCACCUGUACUUUUUAAUUGAAAAAGUCAGACUGCUGAACGUGAAGUUCAGUCAGAACCUUGAAAACUGCAUAGCGAGAGAAAAAGUCAAUUUAGUAAGAACAAUGCCAAAUAAAAAGGCGUUUGUGUCUUACACAGACAAAAGUAUAGAU
rnacentral:tRNA from 1 species